rnacentral:snRNA from 1 species
UGACUGUGAGAGCCACCUGUGAUGCUUGUCAUCCCAUUGCUCAUGAGGUUUGAUUUGGCUGGCCGGGCUGGCUGGGGUUCUUUUCCUUCCCCACACUUCAGUGAGCAUCCCUCCCCAAUCUGGGUUCAUAUCUGUGAGUGUGACCUUUCCACCUGGAGGAGGCCCGUCCUUUGGUCAAGUAUAAAGGUGGCUGUGCUUCUCUUUUUAAGACUUAGUAAAAGACAAAGUGGAGAAAGGUGGAAACCAAUCUUGCUCCCUAUCACCAAGCUUCACGCAAGAAACAAAAAUUGAUUCAUGAUUU